AUGGAUGUGCAGAUUGAUUUUAUCAGGAUGUUCGAAUGCAUUAUUUCUUCAACUUUGUGGUUUAAAAUUAUUUUUCACAUACAUGAUGUAGGCAACUUUGAAUCUUGGAGCCUUAGCAAGGGCACAUGCAAGUUACUGUUUCCAAUGGUUACGAGCAUCUCCUAUUUGCAAGACGAUGACAAGCAUGUUUCUGAAGAUGUGAAUAUCAGGGAUCUAGAUAUGACAAGCUGCGAGGCAAAUGGUCUUCAGCUUUACCGACCUCCACAAAGGCUGAACCAUGUUUAUCUGCUAGAGAUGGGAAAUUGGACAUUCUGA
rnacentral:rRNA from 1 species